GACAAACAGAUUUUAGUUUUGUUAAAAAACUUCUUGUAGUCACAUAUCUCCAAUAACAGAAUUGAAACUUUGGGAUAUUAAAACAUAUUCUUACUGUUGAGACAUUUUUUUAUUCUUGUCCCGUUUGGAUCUAUAGCCAUCAGAAUUGUUGUCUUAAGGCCAAGAAAGAUGCCAAGCGGAUUUAUUUUACCAAGUGGAUCAUCGUGGCCUUGCCAUAUUGGUCCAUUUGACUGACCUUGAUUAUAAUUAUGAACUUAUUUUAUUUUCAGUUGCUACAAACAGGACAGACAUGACUGUGGGAUAGGACAGGGGGAAAGAAUGAAAGAAAGAGAGGGAGAGAAAGAAAGAAAACCAAAGGGGAAAAGAGACGGUGAGAAGGGGGGGAAGAGAGAAAAACACAAACAAACAAAAAAAAAAACAACUCCUGGGUCACCUGUAUGGAGAAAAAAAAAACAGAGGGGAAAGCAAACAACAAAGAGCAACAUAAUAAGAAAAAAAAGCACCAUCACAAUAAACUAGCUAGCAGUGAUAUCAAUAGUUACUAAAUAAUAAACGAUAUUGUGCAGCACGCAAGAUAGACAGCGCACAGUGUGCUUUGAGGCAGCAGCCAAGAAAGCUGUAGUCCGCGUCUGUGAAUACCCAUGUGUACACCUGUGUGCAUACCUGUGUGGAUCAGCAUGCUUGCAUUCCAAAGGUUUCUCCAUGUAAUGAUCUGCUAGGGAGUGUGGGGAGCCACAGCCCUGUCCUCUAUGGUAUCAAGCAGGUAUGGAGGAGAUCAAAACUCCAGACAUCCAGAGGCCCCCAGAACACAAGAGACCAAGGAAGACCAACAGAGGGGCAGCCGCGCCACUGUCCCAGUAAGAGCUGAGGAGAGUCCCAGAUGAGGACUCACUCAGCAGCCGCGGAGCAGAAGCCAGGGGGAGUUGCAGUGACGCGCCCGUGAGCUCCGCCGGCAGCCAGCUGUGCCUGAGUGACCGAGCCCCAGGCUGAGAGGCCGGGGGCACCCCACCUCCGAAGUGGCCCGAGCGAGCCCCAGGAUCCAGGCCCCGAUAAGCGGCUGCCAAGGAGUGAGCCGGUGUGUACCUGGACGCCCAUCCCCUC
ensembl:lncRNA